GAUGAACGCUGGCGGCGUGCCUAAUACAUGCAAGUCGAGCGAACAGACGAGGAGCUUGCUCCUCUGACGUUAGCGGCGGACGGGUGAGUAACACGUGGAUAACCUCCCUAUAAGACUGGGAUAAUUUCGGGAAACCGGAGCUAAUACCGGAUAAUAUAUUGAACCGCAUGGUUCAAUAGUGAAAGACGGUUUUGCUGUCACUUAUAGAUGGAUACGCGCGGCAUUAGCUAGUUGGUAAGGUAACGGCUUACCAAGGCAACGAUGCGUAACCGACCUGAGAGGGUGAUCGGCCGCACUGGAACUGAGACACGGUCCAGACUCCUACGGGAGGGAGCAGAAGGGAAUCUUCCGCAAUGGGCGGAAGCCUGACGGAGCGACGCCGCGUGAGUGAUGAAGGUCUUCGGAUCGUAAAACUCUGUUAUUAGGGAAGAACAAAUGUGUAAGUAACUAUGCACGUCUUGACGGUACCUAAUCAGAAAGCCACGGCUAACUACGUG
rnacentral:rRNA from 1 species